rnacentral:snRNA from 1 species
AUACUUACCUGGCAAGGGAGAUACUGUGAUCAAGAAAGCAGUUCACCCAGGGCGAGGCUCAGCCAUUGCACUGCGGCUGUGCUGACCCCCUGCGAAUUUCCAAAUGUGGAAAUCUCGAUUGCAUAAUUUAUGGUAGUGGGGGACUGCGUUCGCGCUCUCCCCUG